UAUAAUUCAGGUCUUUAUGGUCUCUUACCAGAGUUAAAAGGGAAUUCUUAACCGAAGCUGUCCCCGCAACUGUAUACGUGAAGUUUCCGACAACGAUGAUGUAAAACCACUGAAAUUAGUCGAUUUCGGGAAGGUGAGUCGGGAGUGAUGAAGCGUGAGCCAGGAUAUCUGCCAUAAAAACGUUGUUAUCC
rnacentral:ncRNA from 21 species